UGGGACUUGACAAUGAGGGAAACAAAUCCUUGUUUUUACUUAACCAUUUUGUAUAGUAGUAGAAAACAAGGAUUUUCUGCUUGUAAAGUUAGUUUAAAUGACUAACCUCCUGUCAAAUGAAAAUAGCCAAUUUUUAUUCAAGUAAAUUUUUUUAAGUCACUUGAUUGGAAGACCCAAAAACCUUUUAUAUGUUCAUGUUUCCUAAU
rnacentral:lncRNA from 1 species